CGGGAUAGCGAAGCUCGGAUCAACGCGCCAGCCUUGAGAGCUGGUGACCCUUUGGGGUCUCGAGGGUUCAAAUCCCUCUCCCGGCGCCA
rnacentral:tRNA from 1 species